CAGUAGCCACGGUAAUACGUAGGUGGCAAGCGUUGUCCGGAAUUAUUGGGCGUAAAGCGCGCGCAGGCGGAUCAGUUAGUCUGUCUUAAAAGUUCGGGGCUUAACCCCGUGAGGGGAUGGAAACUGCUGAUCUAGAGUAUCGGAGAGGAAAGUGGAAUCCCUAGUGUAGCGGUGAAAUGCGUAGAUAUUAGGAAGGACACCAGUGGCGAAGGCGACUUUCUGGACGAAAACUGACGCUGAGGCGCGAAAGCCAAGGGAGCGAACGGGAUUAGAUACCCCCGUAGUCCCUGUCUCUUAUACA
rnacentral:rRNA from 1 species